UACUGAGUUUACGCUCUAUAACCCUUUGUGAACAUACCUAUAACUGUUGCUUCGGCGGGUAGGGUCUCCGCGACCCUCCCGGCCUCCCGCCUCCGGGCGGGUCGGCGCCCGCCGGAGGAUAACCAAACUCUGAUUUAACGACGUUUCUUCUGAGUGGUACAAGCAAAUAAUCAAAACUUUUAACAACGGAUCUCUUGGUUCUGGCAUCGAUGAAGAACGCAGCGAAAUGCGAUAAGUAAUGUGAAUUGCAGAAUUCAGUGAAUCAUCGAAUCUUUGAACGCACAUUGCGCCCGCCAGCAUUCUGGCGGGCAUGCCUGUUCGAGCGUCAUUUCAACCCUCAAGCUCUGCUUGGUGUUGGGGCCCUACAGCUGAUGUAGGCCCUCAAAGGUAGUGGCGGACCCUCCCGGAGCCUCCUUUGCGUAGUAACUUUACGUCUCGCACUGGGAUCCGGAGGGACUCUUGCCGUAAAACCCCCCAAUUUUCCAAAGGUUGACCUCGGAUCAGGUAGGAAUACCCGCUGAACUUAAGCAUAUC
rnacentral:misc_RNA from 1 species